ACUCAGAAUGCGCCAGACAGAGACGGAAAAAACUACACAGGCAACGCAGUCUGAUGGAGAAAAAGCAAGCAAGAGCCGCACUUUGCGAUCUCUCCGAACAGCAGAGCAUUGGGCAGUCAAACCGAAAGCCAUAACGCUUAAGGAUUUAGAUUGAAGAGAUUUCCUUUUUUAAAUGUUUGGCAUCAGUGAUAGGGCAUGACAGUAUCUGCAAAAAUGUAUUAUUGACCAUGCAAUUACAAUUGCCCAGUUAAACACAAUUAACAGUUCUCAUAAUUUAGCUCUGGUCUGAAAUGCAUAAAACAAUAGUUACCCCUGAGAAAAUGUAAUAACUAGCACAGAAUAAAAUAAAGAACAUGGAUCAUCUAUAUACGACGGCGGACAAUUCCAGCGGAACCUGGACCAAUAACUCAGGACUAAAUGACACCGAAGCGUAUUCGAACCAAUUCGUGCAGCCGGUCUGGAGGAUAGUGCUGUGGGCAAUCGCGUACAGCAGCAUAGUCAUCGUCUCCGUGGUGGGUAACAUCGUGGUAAUAUGGAUCAUCGUAGCGCACAAACGCAUGAGAACUGUCACCAACUACUUUCUAGUGAACUUGGCAUUCGCCGAGGCGUCAAUGUCAGCGUUCAACACAGUAAUUAACUUCACUUAUGCGGCGCACAACGAGUGGUACUUCGGGCUGGUGUACUGUCGCUUCCACAACUUCUUUCCUAUUGCAGCAGUCUUCGCUAGCAUCUAUUCCAUGACGGCUAUAGCAUUAGACAGGUAUGUGGCAAUCAUCCACCCCCUGCAGCAACGGCUGUCGUCCAGGGAGACCAAGGUGAUUGUGGGGGUGAUCUGGGUGCUGGCGCUCUUCCUGGCCUUCCCCCCGUACUAUUACUCAACGACCCUGCAGCUGCCCGGCCGAGUGGUCUGCCUGGUGGACUGGCCCGAGUACACCGUCUGGAACUUCAAGAAGAUGUACUUUGUGUGUGAGACGGUGCUGAUUUACCUCCUCCCCUUGCUGGUGAUGGGCUGUGCCUACUUGGUGGUGGGCCUUACACUGUGGGCGAGUGAGAUCCCGGGAGACUCGUCCGACCGCUACCGUGAGCAGCUUACUGCCAAGCGCAAGGUGGUGAAAAUGAUGAUAGUGGUGGUGUGCACGUUCGCCAUCUGCUGGCUGCCCUACCACGUGUACUUCCUGCUGGAUGAGUUCUUCCCGGAGGUGUUUGAGGAGAUGUUCAUUCAGCAGGUGUACCUGGCCAUCAUGUGGCUCGCCAUGAGCUCCACCAUGUACAACCCCAUCAUCUACUACCUCCUCAACGACAGGUUUCGCGCCGGAUUCAGGCAAGCGUUCCGCUGGUGUCCCUGCGUGUCCGACGGCUCAUACGAGGGGCUGGAGCUCAAAUCCACCCGCUUCUUGCAGACCCAGGUCAGCGUGUACAAGACCAGCCGCAUGGAGACCACCGUCUCCACAGUGCUCCAGCAGGGGGAGGAGCCCCAGCCGGCAGGGGCAGGGCCAGGGCCAGGGCCAGGGCCAGGGCCGGAGCUGGACCUCACCUCCAACGGCUCCUCAUCCCGCAGCGUCUCUAAGACCGUGUCCGAGACCUCCAGCUUCUACUCCAGCAACCACCUGGCCUAGCACCCUGCCACCCCCUGUUCCGCCUCGCCCCACCCUCCACCAUCAUGCUUUGUUACACUUCAGAAUAGAAAGAUGUGUUGUUUCCUCUGCAGCUGUGUGAGGUGCCUUUCAUGUGUGGAUGGUGUAACACAAGCGGUGCUUUGAAGUUCCGCUCAAGUCCAGCUCUGGGGGCUAGUCCAGCACACCUGCACUGCUGACCACAGGCUGCUGUGUUACUGCCUGGUGCUGAUGCGUGACCGCAUUUACCGCCCACAGCAGCCCAGAGGAGUGCACGCGCUCCAGCUGCGGUGUACCCGGAGCGCAGGCGCUGCAACGGUGAAGGUUCUUUCCAUGGUAUUCAAUGUGUAUCAGGGAGAAUGUGGGGGGAAAAGGUACAUGCCUAUUUGUAUUCAUAUUACUGUUGACAUUACUGUCGUAUCAUAUGUACAGGUUGAGUUCAGACUGUAAGUGAACAUGAGCACAGUCAGGGCUACUAAGGAACUAGGCUUUGCUUUCUGGAGGUUGUGGAUUUGAUUCCCAGGUCGCAAAUUUUCAGUGCCCUUGCGGUAAAUUACAGACAUGUACUUGAAUUGCUUUAGUACAUAUCCAGCCACACAAGCCUAAAAGUCAAAUAUGAAAUACCCCACGUAACCCUGGGUCAGUGUGCUCAUAAAGAAGGAGAACAGCAAAAACAGCAAAGCUUCAAAACACAAAGCCAGAGAAAAGCUGCCAAGAGGCCAGGAAUGGCCAGAUGCCAACCCUGCUGUCUGCCCACUACAAUGUACCUUUUGUCAUAUUCCAUAGAUUGUCUGCCUGUGUUUCAGUGGAUAACAAUGCUGUCAGACAUUUGUAUUAUAUUUUUUUCAAAUUGUGUAGUAACUCAUGAUAAACAUGGUUAAGAAUAUGCGACCUGUACAUAGAUAUGCUUGGAUUUUUAUAUUGCUUUGCCAUAGAUGCUUUUAAAGAAGCUAAUCCUAUCCCCUGCUUUAAUGUACUUUGUAUGGUGUGUGCACAUUGGGUAACACGCUUUUUUGUGUUAGUCACAUUUUGAGCUCCCUGAAAUAUAACCCCUUCUGGCAUUCACAGAUAAAUGUAUUGAGUUGGUUUGAAACUUUUUUUCUUUUUUUGGAUGUAAAAAAAAAAAAAUAUCAUUAUGAAAUCCUAAAAAAUAAGAAUUCUAACUUGAAAGAUUUUUGAAACUGCAUGGCUUGAAUAUACAUGUAUAAUGUCUACCUGGUGCCAUUUGCCUGCAAAGAGUGCAUUCAUUUAUAUGAAUGGCCUACAGGAGCACUGGCCGAUAAAGUUUCUGACAACCUGCUGAUGGGAAUCUCGACUAAAAGCAUGCAUUAUAAUGCCUCGACGCUUCUGUGCCUGGUGAAGAGAAUUUAGGCUGAAGGUUGCCCGGUUCAUUUCCGAGAGAACAGCAUGUGUGUGUGUGUGUGUGUGUGUGUGUGUGUAUGAAUGUGUGAAGGAAUGGCAUCAAGCCUUCAAGUGUCUAUCUGUUCUUCUGCAGUCUGCCUUUGCCUCUGUCUCCUGAAAACUUUGACCUGGCCAGCUAGUCGGCACAUCAGACUGUCAGCGAUGGGCCUGUAUGCUGUGGGCUUGUAGUAGUAAGUGCCUCAUUGUUUGAGCGCUCAGUUCAUGCUUUAUGCCCACAUUGUGUGGAGUAAUACGUGAAAAAGUUCAAGAACCUGGAGCAGCACUGCAGUGAGCGGGCUACUCACAAUCAGCAAGAGGUGAAGUGAGCGACAGACAGAGUAAGAAUUAGAGAGAGAGAGAGAAAGAGAGCAUAAUUACCAUGUCUGACCUUUUCCGCUUCUGUGUUUAAAGCCCAGUGGAUUUCAGAUUCAUGCUAAUGCAUUCAAAUUUACUUAUUUGUCUCGCUCUCCCCCCUCACAUUUCCAGCUAAAAAAACACUACCUGUCUAAAGGAGGAUACCGACAGACUCAGAGAAGAAAUGGAAAACGGAUUAAUGUGAUUCUAUAUUUGAAACCCUGGUAACCGAAGGCACUUUACAGCCACUAGUCUUAUCAACGAAGAUUCAGUACAUAAAUGAAAAUGGUACUUUUCUUUCCCUCUCUCUCUCUGGCUCCCUCUCACAAAUAUAUGCUCACACAUGAACAUACGUACCCAUGCACAUACACAGAUGCAUGUACAUAUACACAUAGGUAUGCACACACAGUGAUAUAUACAUGUGCACAAUCACGCACACAAACACACACUGUACAUACAGUACACACAUGCACACACGUAUGCACACAUGCACACGCAUGCACACACACAGGUGCGUUGUUCUCCAGGGAGUCCAGAAAAGCAUGUGGAAGCAAUCAGCGAUGUCUUUCUCUGCUAUCCAUCUAUGCCACCACUGCUAUAGUGAGAUCAGUUCUUUCUAUGAACUUCUUCCGUGUUGCUUUUGUGCUUUCAUUUGCCUUUCUUAUGUCUGUUUUAUUAAACAGUGGCUAAUGGAUCGACUUCUACUCUUUUAAUUUCAUAAAGGAAUAUUUCAUCUUACUGUCUGAGUUGCUCUGGUAAAAGAAUUUACCUAUCUAUUGUUUACUUCUGUCUGAAUAGACUCUGUUACUCGUAAUUCUUACAAUUGUACAGUGAUCCAUACUAGUAUCUGGAAAACAUGCAUUUGUGUCUCAUGGCUAUUUGAUCAAAUAUUAACCAUGUGUACUAUACUUCACACAGAUGUGUGCAGAUUUUCCAUAAAUAAAUGCCCUGUGAUGUGAAAUAAA